CAUUCUUGGCUCAAAUCCCUUCAGGCAAUCUUAGUUGUCUAGAAAACAUUACAAAUGCCACAUAUUUUGUGUAUAGACCCAGUACUGAUUCGAUAAAUACCCCCAUAAGUUGUGCUUUUAGCCAUAUAAUAAUUCUAAACUAACAGUCCCCAAAAGAAAAAUGGUCAAUGGCCCACAUUUGGUUAGAGGAGGAGGAUAAAUUUAGGCUAGGAUUACCUCAAAAAAUAAAAAUCUUUUUGUCAACAUCAAAUAUUACAUUGCUCAAAGUAAUGAUUCACCUGGAUUGGAAUUGCUUAAAGUUACGCAUGCACAUGUUCCUUUUGUGAGACUAUUUUCUUGGUCUGCUCUUUCCAAAUGAGCAUUAGGGAAAAGAAAGACUAUUUUGUUGGUCUGCUCUUUCCAAAUUAGCAUAAGGGAAAGGAAAGGUAUCUUCUUCUUCUUCUUUUUUUAGGUGGACACAAGGUCCCCAGAUUUACAGAUGGGGUUUAGAAUCAAUGUUCAGCAUAUUCAGUGAACCACUACUGCUUGAAUUUGUAUUAACAGCCCAGUUUCUAUUCUUGCACCACUAUUACAAAUCAUCUUGACUCAUUGGUAUCUCAAAUAUUUAAACUGACUUUUUUUAAUAAAUAGUUUCUACCCAUGUUAUGUGGGUCCUUCAAAAGUGGAGUAUCUGAGUUGGAUACUCAAACAGCAGGAUAAGGUAUGGAUAAGAGACCUGCCUUCACAAGACUUGAAAUCCAGAUCCAUUCUGUUUUUAAACUGUUGAGCUAUCAGUUAUUUAGAAUUUUAAAUGAAUAUUACCAAUUGGGUUGCAAGUCCAGCUUGCUUGAUAUUGUUGGGGCAUCAUUUGAACUUGGCUAUCUUUUUUGAACAGUAACACAAGAAAAUUUUAUUAGAACCACUGAAAAGAGGGAAAAAUGAGAAUAAGCAAUGUGGGAAGAAGAGAGAUCAUUGCAUUCACCCCUAAAGAUGGCAUUAAGGAAGAAAAAGAUCCAACAACCCAAUAAUUCCUCCUUUUUACUUCUAAACUAUAGGCAAACCCAUUGCCCAAGACGGAUCCAACUGUUGAGCUUAUGAAAGAUCUCUUCCACAGAUUCCAAGCAAUUGCUGAAGUACCUAUUGUUUCUUCCUUUCUAGAUUGACCACACCACUACUAGAAAGGAGAGACACCAUAUAAAUGCUUUCCUUUUGCCUUUCUUUUGUCUGUUCUAGGCAAGGUAGAAAGCAUCAAUCAAACAUGGUGCAAUCCAUAACAUGAUUAUCUUAUGAGUUCUGACCAAUCCCUUGCUGUAUCUGUCAUGAAAAUUUGGGUUUAGGGGAUCUGGCGUACCUGAUCCUUGCUGUAUCCAUACUCAGGUACUGUAUUUUUAUACAAUUUCUCCAAGAAGAUAGUCAUGCAUGUGAUUUAGCAGUGGUAAGAACUUUUCUUUGGCUUACUUCACCAAUUUGCUACUGAGCCAUUGAAUUGCCUAUGGAUGCAUUGGUAACUUUGAAAUCUUUUGCCAAAGAAGAAGAAAAAGGAGGAGACAAGUUUUAUUCUUUUGUCAGAGAAGAAGAAGGUUACAAGUUUUAUUCUUUUGCCAGAGAAGAAGGUGACAAGUUAUAUUAUUUAUAGGUAUGGUUAGGAUGUGUUUGGAUGAUGCUUGUAAAUGGGGUUAACUGUAAAUGAUUUACAGGUAAAUGGUUUAUAGUCUGUGUUUGGAUGCUGAAAAUUGCCUGUAAAUGCUUUUCUACGGCUUGCAGGUUUUGACCCUUCCACUUUCAUGCCUGAUUAAAGUUCUCCUCUGCCCUUUGAAUUUACAGAUGCGGAUUGGCUUGUUACCCGAGGUUGUAUCGUGGUGAUCCAGUGCUAAAUCCUCUUACACCUUGGGAUAGACCUCCAUUGAAAAACAUUUUCUGUAUAUAUGGGAUAGAUAUGAAGAUUGAGUUUGUGAGUGUUUAACUCCUGAUACUGUAAAUAAUAAGUAUCAUGGAUGUGAAGACUGGUGGAGGCAAGUUUUUUCAGCACAAGGCUUAUUGUGAAAAGCAUAGCUUGGAUCAGAAAAAGAAGGCUGAGAAUCUUCAACGUGGACCUGAUGAGGUCCGCCGCAUUAAGCAAAUCCGGGUCAGUGAGAAUGUACUAUAAUCCACAUCUUGUCUGUUUUCUCAUUCAUUAUUGGAUCCUCCUUUUGGGUUUCCUUUCCAGCACUUCCAACUCUCAAUUAUACUCUCUUUCCUUUCC